rnacentral:rRNA from 1 species
AUUGAACGCUGGCGACAUGCCUUACACAUGCAAGUCGAACGGUAACAGGUCUUCGGAUGCUGACGAGUGGCGAACGGGUGAGUAAUGCAUCGGAACGUGCCCAGUAGUGGGGGAUAGCCCGGCGAAAGCCGGAUUAAUACCGCAUACGACCUGAGGGUGAAAGGGGGGGAUCGCAAGACCUCUCGCUAUUGGAGCGGCCGAUGUCAGAUUAGCUAGUUGGUGGGGUAAAGGCCUACCAAGGCAACGAUCUGUAGUUGGUCUGAGAGGACGACCAGCCACACUGGGACUGAGACACGGCCCAGACUCCUACGGGAGGCAGCAGUGGGGAAUUUUGGACAAUGGGCGCAAGCCUGAUCCAGCAAUGCCGCGUGCAGGGAGAAGGCCUUCGGGUUGUAAACUGCUUUUGUCAGGGAAGAAAUCUUCUGGGUUAAUACCUCGGGAGGAUGACGGUACCUGAAGAAUAAGCACCGGCUAACUACGUGCCAGCCGCCGCGGUAAUAC